AGAUUGAACGCUGGCGGCAGGCCUAACACAUGCAAGUCGAGCGGCAGCACGGGUACUUGUACCUGGUGGCGAGCGGCGGACGGGUGAGUAAUGCCUAGGAAUCUGCCUGAUAGUGGGGGAUAACGUUCGGAAACGGACGCUAAUACCGCAUACGUCCUACGGGAGAAAGUGGGGGAUCUUCGGACCUCACGCUAUCAGAUGAGCCUAGGUCGAUUAGCUAGUUGGUAGGGUAAAGGCCUAACCAAGGCUACGAUCCGUAACUGGUACUGAGAGGAUGAAUCAAGUCACACUGGAACUGAGACACGGU
rnacentral:rRNA from 1 species